UUUUGAAAUCAAUUUGUCAUCUUUGUUGCCCUCAAGUUUCUCUUAGUCCUGAUGUUGAAACCGCUGUACCGCCCAUCCUAAAUUCUAUCACCAAUUCCGGUGGGCAAUAUCCAAACGCGAUAUAUUUGAUGCUUCAAGCUGAAACUUAUUGGAUGAAGAAGCGACAUGGAUUCACCCCAAAAGCAAACAAUAAGCUGGAAUAUUCACUUGUUCGAUAAAGAUGGCUGACAAAGGUAUUUUCCAUCAUCAUUUUGAUGUGAAAUUGGUGAAUAUUAUUUCAGCUGUGAACAUGCUAAAAAUCUAUGAACCCGUUGUGAACAUGCUAAAAAUCUGUAAAUCCAUUCGUAAUCCACGUUUGAUGGAAAAAAAAUUCUCGGCCACCAUUUUGUUUAUUAAAUUAGCUUCGAGGUUGAUAUACAAUGAUAAAGGAUUGGUGGGCUUUGCUUAGAUUGAAUGAGUAUCUUUUAUCAAUUCAACAUUGGUUUUAACUUUAGUUUUGAUUUGUUUUUGCAGGGAAAGGAAUUUCGAAAGAGGUGGACGAUAAUAUUUUGUUAGAAUUUGAUAACAAGAACAUUUUGGACAGCAUGAACUUAGUGGAUCAUGGAAUUGUUCGGACAAAUGGUGUAAUUGUGCUUGAGAUCAGAAUGAAGUUCAGCAAUAAAAGGAAAUGUAUGAUUUUUAUAAAGAUAUGCG
rnacentral:lncRNA from 1 species